rnacentral:lncRNA from 1 species
GUGUUUUGUAGCCUAUUCUGACCUCAAGAAUCUUAUACUCAAGUGAACUCACUAACCUCCAGUGGUUCGGAAACAAGGACUGAGCCUGGAGACACAGGCUGCACGAACCAAAGGAAAGUACCAGGGCACUUGAGCAGUGAACUCCAAGAGUGGCUGGUGGGACUAAAGGAAAGGAUGGAAGACAAAUGUCACUGCAAGCAGCUGUGCGACGCUGGAUUGGAGAAUCAUUGGGAACUCCGCUUCAGCACAAGGGACAGCGGCACUAUCGUUGCCAGGAGAUUGGAGAAGCCACUGCACAUACAAGAGGCCGGGCAGAGAGCAUACAGCCUUCAGAAGCUUGGGGACUCAAUGAGAGAGCUGGCCAAGUUCCCAGUGUGGCAAAGUCCAGGAGUUACCUAGGAAAUCAUGAGGAGGGAACUGGAUUGGAAGGGGUGCUGUGUGCCUAGGAGUAAGAGCAAGUGCCAUGCACUGACAUUUUCUGUCUAGCCAUAGGUGGUCUGUGCUCUCACUGUUCUCACUUAUCCAGAGGUCCAUGGAACACUAAGCAGGGACUUAGGUGGCUGGCAUGAGAGCAUAGGUCUGGAGUCUAGACAAGGCAGGCAGGGACUAGACAGAAUUCUGGGUACAGAUAGAAGCUGAGAACUUCCAGAAAUGUAAAAUUUAGGGUCUUAGACCCAAUGGUAAAACGGUGGUUUAAGGAUCAUGGAUUCGGAUGAGCACUGGAGGCGGCUCUAGAGCCUUUAAGCUGGUUUAGUUAGCCAGGGUAGAGGUGCCCCAUGACAACUUACAAUGCCUGGAUGCCAUUUUUUCUGGAAGUAAAGAGGCCUGGGUCACCAUACCUCUUAUGACCCCAAUUCACACCCGGGC